UGGGGAAUAUUGGACAAUGGGCGAAAGCCUGAUCCAGCCAUGCCGCGUGUGUGAAGAAGGUCUUCGGAUUGUAAAGCACUUUAAGUUGGGAGGAAGGGCAGUAAAUUAAUACUUUGCUGUUUUGACGUUACCGACAGAAUAAGCACCGGCUAACUCUGUGCCAGCAGCCGCGGUAAUACAGAGGGUGCAAGCGUUAAUCGGAAUUACUGGGCGUAAAGCGCGCGUAGGUGGUUCGUUAAGUUGGAUGUGAAAUCCCCGGGCUCAACCUGGGAACUGCAUUCAAAACUGACGAGCUAGAGUAUGGUAGAGGGUGGUGGAAUUUCCUGUGUAGCGGUGAAAUGCGUAGAUAUAGGAAGGAACACCAGUGGCGAAGGCGACCACCUGGACUGAUACUGACACUGAGGUGCGAAAGCGUGGGGAGCAAACAGGAUU
rnacentral:rRNA from 1 species